rnacentral:sRNA from 1 species
GUGACAUUGCCCGCUCACUGAGCAUGGCG